UACGUAGGGGGCUAGCGUUGUCCGGAAUCAUUGGGCGUAAAGGGCUCGUAGGCGGUCUGUCGCGUCGGGAGUGAAAACUCAGGGCUUAACCCUGAGCCUGCUUCCGAUACGGGCAGACUAGAGGUAUGCAGGGGAGAACGGAAUUCCUGGUGUAGCGGUGAAAUGCGCAGAUAUCAGGAGGAACACCGGUGGCGAAGGCGGUUCUCUGGGCAUUACCUGACGCUGAGGAGCGAAAGUGUGGGGAGCGAACAGG
rnacentral:rRNA from 1 species